UUCUGAGUUCAGUGAUAUGUCACAAUCCCUUCUGUGGGCUGGUCCCAAACAAGGAGAGUCAAAUCAUUUAGGUGCUGGGAAGAGGCACAUGUCACACCUGCAAGAAAGUCCAAGGAUGAGAUUAAAAAUUCCACACACGUCCAAAUUCUAGGUGUGCUAGAUUUUGGCCUGAGAAGCACCAAUUAACCUGCAGACCAGAUCCACUCAUGAGAGUCAAUUUUCCAACUUUUGACUGUCUCCAGGGCCCAAGCAGAAGAGAUGAAUCACAUCAUCUAUGUGAUGAAUGAAAAGAUAUGUCAUUAUUCCCCUGUGGGCAGGGCUUGUGCAGAAAAGUUGCGUCUUCUAGGUGUUGGACUCAAAAAUAAAUCACAAUGUCUGCAGCACUUUAGAAAGAGAGGAGAGUCACAUCACUUAGGCAUGGCCCAGGCAGGAGAGAAGAGUCAUAUCACCUAAGAUCUGGAUUCACGGAUAUGUCCCAAUUUCUUUUUUGGGCAAUGCUCAGUUCUAGGUAUGAGAGUCAACACCUGUGUAUUGGAUCCAAAUAGAUGAGUCACAAUCUCAACAACUGACUUGAUCCAUGUGUGAGAUCUUAUUUUCUUUUUGCAUUACUAUUAGUUACAGUACCUAUUAAUCCUUCCACAAUCUCUAUCUUUGUCCUGUAUGAAUGUACAUACAAAGACUGAUACAUAUACAAGAUUAUAUGAGUAUUUCUAUGUAAAUAUGUACACAAAAAUUGUUCCUCAAGACGUUUCUCAAUCUCUUAGCAUAUUCUAAGGGUGAAGAUGUAGAAUUAUUUCUCUUCUCUGUCUCAGUAGCAUGUCAGAAUGGAACGUAGCUAUACAAUGUUGUUUGUAUAGACAAACUAAGCUUCACUUUCAGGGACAAGGUCUGGGAAAUAAGCUGAUAUUAAAGCCAUGUAACACUUUCUGUCCAGGUUAGCAUUUCUGGACUUUGAUUUUCUUCUCAGUAUAUGCAUGAGCUAUUCUCAUCCACCACUGGGGGUCCAUCUUGAUUAAUCUACAAUUGAUAUUCAGAGAACUGGCUGAUUGAAUCCACCUGGGCUGAGCUAAUUCACUGAUUGAAAUCACCUGGGCUGAGCUUAUUGGCCAAUUAAAAUAAUCUGGGACUCAAAUAUUGGCUGACUGUAGUCACCGGGGCUGAACUAAUUAGCUGAUUUUAAUCUCCUGGGAUCAGCUAAUUGAUUGUAAUUACCUGAUUGGAGUUAAUUGGCUGAUUGAAAUAAAAAAUGCUGACCUAAUUGGCAGAUCGAAAUCAUCUGGAAUGAGGUAAUUGACUGGAUUUACCUGAUCUGAGCUAAUUACCCAGACCAAGCUAAUUGGCUAAUUGGAAUAAACUGGGCUGAGCUAAUUGGCUGAUUGGAAUCAUCAGGGCUGAGUAAAUGGAUUGAUUGUAUUCACCUCGCCUGAGAAGAGUAA